UCCUGAUUUAAAUUUUAAUUACUCUAAAAAUUAUUUUUUUAUUUUUAAUUUUUAUUUAUAUAUAUAAAGAGAGAGAGAAGAGGGAGUGGAGGAACAACUAAGGGCAAAAUAGAAAUUUCACACCGAUAAAAAUCACUCUUUCCCAUACUCUAGAACCAUUUUUCUUUAGCCAGCACCUCAACAUAUCCAACACUACUCUUAAACAAAAACUCAAAAAAUCUCUCUGUUUCUUCUACUGCUUCCCCCCUCCCCCAACCCCCCACCACCGCUACCACCAUCCUCCUCCGCUUUCUCCACCGCAACCAUUGCCAUUGUCCUCCUCCAUCGAUGAAAACUCCGACAAGUGGCUUAGCAUCUUCUGUUUUCUUAACGGUAGUGGUAACGGGAAUAGACACAAAUGACAUUCUUCAGCAGAGUUCCGUUAUAAUUUGUUGUGUUAUUCGUUGAAUUUUGAAGAUGAGGCAAACUUCACCAGCUUCUCUUCUAGACUUCCUCUGUUGCCAGUGAUGGUGAUGGAGCUAGCGACGGUGAAGGUGAAGCAUUUGGGCUUGUUGGUGGUGCUGGUGAUAUUAAACUUACUAAGAAUGGAAAUACCUUCCUGAAAGAGAUGUGAGUUCUUAUUGUUAUACUCUUUAUGAGUUUUUUUAGAUAUUUAUUUGUUUUUUCGAGUUUCAUACCUAAACUUGUCAAGUAUCUCAGUUUCCUCACCAACUAUUAAUCAAAAUACACCUUAAUUAUCAAUUGUUCAUUUUUUCUACAUGAACGAUGUUGAAGUUUAUGGUGAUAUUUCUAUAGGAAAUGUGACUAAUUGAUAGUUGAUGCUUGUUUUGAUAAAUAGCUGGUGAUAGUUUAGACAAGAAAUUCAAAAUUCACACACUUGAUAGUUAAAGCACGAAACUCAAGAAUCGGGAUGCUUGCGGUGUGUUUUUGAUCAUUCUCUCACAUUUUGUUGUAUAGUUUACACAUUUGCAGUCGAUGUUGCACUUCAAAUGUCCUGAGUAUUACGUGAUGUUAGUGUGGAUGGUACUGAGAUGUAGAGUUAAGUUUUUUUAUGGAAGUCAAUCCAGCAACAAGAUGAAUAUUACUCUCUCUGUAGCAAAAAUUGCGGCACUGUUAUUUGUUCUAGAAGACUACAAUAGUUUGUCCAAACAUUUUUUCAAAUAUAUAUAACCGUAGAGGCUAAGACCUAUAUAAAAUCUCUGCUGCUAUAAAGAUUGUGAUUGGUAGUUCUUUUUGAAGGACUCUCUGAGUAUGUUAAAUUUUAAUCCCAAAAAAGUUAAGAAAUUAGUGUCCGAAUCCGUAGGGACAGGGUUUGCACAUUAGUAUGAUAUUCAAUUUAUGAUAAAUGAUGAAGGAUAAACCAGAUAAUAAUGUCACUUGGCCCCCAUGCCGAAGUAUUGGGCAUUUUUUGGGGAUUAGCCUGUUCACACCGGAGAUUAAAAAUGCUAAUACAUAUCAUCUUUUGAUUUGUUGGGACUUGGGAGCAUUUUGCAUGUUUUUUAGGAUGGUCCUGUUUGCAUAUCAUCAGCUGUUAUAGCUAUAAUCAAAGUUGAAACUGGGCCAUGUAUCUUGAUUACUACAAAUAAACAUAGAUGCAGAUGACUGUUACUAGAGUUGAAUUAUGGGUCUUCCGGUCACAACCUUAUUAUAUAGAAUAAAUGAGCGAGGUUUAUGAUUGUUAAAUAGGAGCAGUAAAUUUAAUCUUUCUAUUGAAUAAUACUUCGAAUUGGAAAAAAGAGUUUAAAGGUAACAGUGCACUUGAAAAAGGAUAUCUGGUUCCUUCUUUUUCUUUCCUGUUACGAGAUUAUUUGGUAGGAGUCUUCCAACAGACUUUGUACCCUCUCAUCGAGAUUACAAGGCUUUGUAUCCUAAAGAAAGAGCAUUAUCAAAAAGGUGAGUUCUUCAUCAGUUCAUUUUUUCAAAUGGUCCCUUAACAGUAGGGCUAGGCUAUGUUGAACUAUUUUUCUUUUAUUUACCAAGCAACAUUAUUGAUUGCUACAUGUGAUCUCUAUUUGAUUUGUUAUUUUAAUUAAUGUGUCCACAUAUACCUAUAGAUUCGCCCCUGAUGCCUCACUAAAAAGUUAGUUGAUUCGGCUAUAUGAAUCCUAAUAUCUGUUGUAUUCCAUAACUUUAUAUUGACAAAUGGUUUUGUUUGGAGUGAGUUUUGUGAUUGUCUUAUGCUUUACUUACAUGCUAAUAUUCACCGUUGGGAGAAGAACAUCAUAGACUUGAAUAUAAUAAUUCUGAGAUAUUCAAGGUGAAUCAAGAAUAAUUUUUUUGCUGUUACAAAAUAAUAUGUUUAUGGUGGAUGCUCAUAACUCUUAGAAUUAAGUAACUCCCACCCAUCUUCUCCAUGAUAUAUAGUUAAUCCUCCAUUACUCUACACACCAUUAUGGGUGUAACUCUCAUACCCUUUAAUCUCUCCCAUAAUAUUCUUGUUUAAUACCAUUAUGGGUGUGACUCUCACACCCUUUAACCCUCCUACCCCAUAAUGUUCUUGUUUAAUAGCAUUAUUAUGACAAUCUUUUGCAUGCCUCUAUAUGAUAUUAUAAAUAGAGGCAUAAGGGUUCAUAUUGUAGACACUUGAACAAUUGAAAUAC